rnacentral:rRNA from 1 species
GAUGAACGCUGGCGGCGUGCCUAAUACAUGCAAGUCGAGCGAACGGACGAGAAGCUUGCUUCUCUGAUGUUAGCGGCGGACGGGUGAGUAACACGUGGAUAACCUACCUAUAAGACUGGGAUAACUUCGGGAAACCGUAGCUAAUACCGGAUAAUAUUUUGAACCGCAUGGUUCAAAAGUGAAAGACGGUCUUGCUGUCACUUAUAGAUGGAUCCGCGCUGCAUUAGCUAGUUGGUAAGGUAACGGCUUACCAAGGCAACGAUGCAUAGCCGACCUGAGAGGGUGAUCGGCCACACUGGAACUGAGACACGGUCCGGACUCCUACGGGAGGCAGCAGUAGGGAAUCUUCCGCAAUGGGCGAAAGCCUGACGGAGCAACGCCGCGUGAGUGAUGAAGGUCUUCGGACCGUAAAACUCUGUUAUUAGGGAAGAACAUAUGUGUAAGUAACUGUGCACAUCUUGACGGUACCUAAUCAGAAAGCCACGGCUAACUACGUG